rnacentral:rRNA from 1 species
GACGAACCGUGCAAACGUUGUUCGGAAUCACUGGGCUUAAAGGGCGCGUAGGCGGCUUGUCAAGUCAGGGGUGAAAUCUUUCGGCUUAACCGGAAAAGUGCCUUUGAUACUGACAGGCUCGAGGGAGGUAGGGGUAUGUGGAACUUCUGGUGGAGCGGUGAAAUGCGUUGAUAUCAGAAGGAACGCCGGUGGCGAAAGCGACGUACUGGACCUCUUCUGACGCUGAGGCGCGAAAGCUAGGGGAGCAAACGGGG